rnacentral:misc_RNA from 1 species
UGAAGAGUCAGCCAUUUUGACAAAGCUUUCUUAAAAAAAGUUUUACGCGCGUGCUUGCAACUGUCGUUUUACUUGAGUCGCGCACGCUCUAUCACAGCCUACACGUCGAUUUCCAGUCGUUUAUUAAGUCACAAUCCAAAAUGAGUGGUCGCGGCCCUCCUCGUAUCGAAGGUAUGACCUCUUUGAAAGUUGACAACCUCACUUAUCGUACUACAUGCGAAGAUUUGCGUCGAGUAUUCGAAAAAUAUGGAGAUGUAGGAGAUGUUUACAUCCCCAAGGAUCGCUUUUCUAGAGAAAGUCGUGGUUUCGCUUUUGUCAGGUUUUAUGACAGACGUGAUGGAGAAGAUGCCAUGCAUGCUAUGGAUGGUAGGAUGAUGGAUGGACGGGAACUAAGAGUUCAGUUGGCUCGUUAUGGACGUCCUGAUGACCCACCUAGACGCAGUGGACGUAGUUCAAGAAGGAGAAGGUCUCGUUCUCGUAGUCGUUCACGUGACCGCCGAUCCAGAUCUCGAUCUCGUUCACGCAGUCGCAGCCGAGACCGUGAUGACAAACGAGGUAGUCGCCGUGACGAUGAUCGUCGAAGCAAGAAGAAGAGCAAAUCCAGGUCUCGCAGUCGCAGCGACAGUCGCGAGCGAAGCCGUGAUCGGAGUCGUGAUCGAAGCCGCUCUCGCAGCAAGAGCCCAAGAGAGGAAGGUGGAAACAGAUCUCCGGUCGUGAAAGAAGAGCCCGCAGCUGAGGUAGACCGAAGAAAUCACGAUGAAGAAGACAACGGACAUGAUGAUCGUCGUAGUCGCGAUCGUGAGCACGACGACGAUAACGACCACAGACGCUCUGCAUCACGCUCGCGAUCUCGCUCGCGUUCACGAUCUGGUUCAAAGGAUUGAAGUUUUUAAAAGGAAUCGUGCGCCGUGUAUGGGACUUGAAAAGGGGGGCUGUGGUGAUUUUUUUUUUCUUUUUGUUUUUCUGGUGGAGGCUGCACACACGAAGCGACACGAAAUUGGCGCGGUUUCGUCCGUUAAUCGAGAGAAGUCAAAGCAAUUCAGUAAUACUUUGGAAAAAAGCGAAAGGCGGCCAAUAAUUCGAAACAGGAAUCUGGUUCUCUCCAGCCAAUACACACAGAUUUCAUCCACUU